rnacentral:rRNA from 1 species
GAGUCUGCGUUUCAUUAGCUCCCUUGGUGAGGUAACGGCCCACCAAGGCGACGAUCCAUAGCCGACCUGAGAGGGUGACCGGCCACAUUGGGACUGAGACACGGCCCAAACUCCUACGGGAGGCAGCAGUGGGGAAUAUUGCACAAUGGGCGAAAGCCUGAUGCAGCGACGCCGCGUGAGCGAAGAAGUAUUUCGGUAUGUAAAGCUCUAUCAGCAGGGAAGAUAAUGACGGUACCUGACUAAGAAGCACCGGCUAAAUACGUGCCAGCAGCCGCGGUAAU